rnacentral:rRNA from 1 species
AACGUAGGACACAAGCGUUAUCCGGAAUUACUGGGCGUAAAGGGCGUGCAGGCGGUUGCGUAAGUUAGGCGUGAAAGACUUCGGCUAAACCGGGGGAGGUCGUCUGAUACUGCGCAACUAGAGUAUGGUAGAGGCGUGUAGAAUUCCGGGUGUAGUGGUGAAAUGCGUAGAGAUCCGGAAGAACACCGGUGGCGAAGGCGGUCUGCUGGGCGGUGAACUCGCAAGAGUUCAAUAGCCGACACUGAGGCGCGACAGCGUGGGGAGCAAACAGG